rnacentral:rRNA from 1 species
GACGAACGCUGGCGGCGUGCCUAAUACAUGCAAGUCGAACGCUUCUUUCCUCCCGAGUGCUUGCCCUCAAUUGGAAAGAGGAGUGGCGGACGGGUGAGUAACACGUGGGUAACCUACCCAUCAGAGGGGGAUAACACUUGGAAACAGGUGCUAAUACCGCAUAACAGUUUAUGCCGCAUGGCAUAAGAGUGAAAGGCGCUUUCGGGUGUCGCUGAUGGCUGGACCCGCGGUGCAUUAGCUAGUUGGUGAGGUAACGGCUCACCAAGGCCACGAUUGAUAGCCGACCUGAGAGGGUGAUCGGCCACACUGGGACGGAGACACGGCCCAGACUCCUACGGGAGGCAGCAGUAGGGAAUCUUCGGCAAUGGACGAAAGUCUGACCGAGCAACGCCGCGUGAGUGAAGAAGGUUUUCGGAUCGUAAAACUCUGUUGUUAGAGAAGAACAAGGACGUUAGUAACUGAACGUCCCCUGACGGUAUCUAACCAGAAAGCCACGGCUAACUACGUG